UGGUAGCCACUGUAGAAACACAUACCAUUG
rnacentral:piRNA from 1 species